rnacentral:rRNA from 1 species
UACAGAGGUCCCGAGCGUUGUUCGGAUUCAUUGGGCGUAAAGGGUGCGUAGGCGGCGGGGCAAGUCUGAUGUGAAAUCCCGGGGCUCAACCCCGGAACUGCAUUGGAUACUGCCUUGCUUGAGUACUGGAGAGGGAACUGGAAUUUACGGUGUAGCAGUGAAAUGCGUAGAGAUCGUAAGGAAGGCCAGUGGCGAAGGCGAGUUCCUGGACAGUUACUGACGCUGAGGCACGAAGGCUAGGGGAGCAAACGGG